UACUCGAGUAUCUAUGAUGAUAUUUAGAACUUUUUGUUUAAAUACAAAACAACUACAACAACGAAGAAUAAAAACACUUAAGUUUUAAUUUACAUAUAAAUUUCUCAACGAUUGUUGGCAUUGAAAUUGUGAUAAGUGAGGCCAAGUCGAACAUACCUUCAUACUCGUGUAGUAUAGAAAGAUACACUUCUUCAAUUUGAGGUCGGUAUUGAAUUGAAUAAAAUCUUUUUCCACCACACCGACCGAUCAACUGCCGUACCGACCGACCGACCGACACCAGGCGAAUCUCAUCUCAACUCGACUCAACUAAACUCAAGUGACGUGCUGGUUUGAUGAAGGAUUUUUUCGUCGAUUGAACUCGAUAAAUGAUCUGCUUUUGGAGAAACAAAAAAAAAUAAAAUUAAUGAACAUGCAGCGAGUCAGCACCAGCAGCACCCAGGCCCACUUUUCCAUUGAUUCACGUUCCUAUAAAAAAUGUAAAUAUAAUUAUUUGAGCAGGCUGAUGAAUAUACCUAAGCGUAUAAGCGUGUUGUGCACACUUAAUCGAAGCUCGAACGUGAAACGCGUAAUUAAACUGGAAACUCAUUUGAUUAAUUUACAUGUUCUGAAUCUAAAUAAGAUUUUCUCUGAUCGAGAAUGAUUAUUCUAAUAAAAUUAAAUAUAUGU